rnacentral:rRNA from 1 species
AGAGUGAACGCUGGCGGCAGGCCUAAUACAUGCAAGUCGAACGGCAGCACGGCAGAGCUUGCUCUGUGGGUGGCGAGUGGCGGACGGGUGAGGAAUACAUGGGAAUCUGCCCAGUCGUGGGGGAUAACGUAGGGAAACUUACGCUAAUACCGCAUGCGCCCGUUCGGGGGAAAGCCGGGGACCUUCGGGCCUGGCGCGAUUGGAUG